AGCGAACGCUGGCGGCAGGCCUAACACAUGCAAGUCGAGCGCCCAGCAAUGGGAGCGGCAGACGGGUGAGUAACGCGUGGGGAUCUGCCUAAUGGUACGGAAUAACCCAGGGAAACUUGGAUUAAUACCGUAUGUGCCCUUCGGGGGAAAGAUUUAUCGCCAUUGGAUGAACCCGCGUCGGAUUAGCUAGUUGGUGUGGUAAAGGCGCACCAAGGCGACGAUCCGUAGCUGGUCUGAGAGGAUGAUCAGCCACACUGGGACUGAGACACGGCCCAGACUCCUACGGGAGGCAGCAGUGGGGAAUAUUGGACAAUGGGCGCAAGCCUGAUCCAGCCAUGCCGCGUGUGUGAUGAAGGCCUUAGGGUUGUAAAGCACUUUCGCCGGUGAAGAUAAUGACGGUAACCGGAGAAGAAGCCCCGGCUAACUUCGUGCCAGCCGCCGCCGUAAAAC
rnacentral:rRNA from 1 species